UACAGAGGUGGCAAGCGUUGUUCGGAAUUACUGGGCGUAAAGGGCGCGUAGGCGGUUCGUUAAGUCCUGUGUGAAAUCCCCCGGCUCAACUGGGGAACUGCACAGGAAACUAGCGGGCUUGAGUGCCGGAGAGGGUGGCGGAAUUCCCCAAGUAGAGGUGAAAUUCGUAGAUAUGGGGAGGAACACCGGUGGCGAAGGCGGCCACCUGGACGGUAACUGACGCUGAGACGCGAAAGCGUGGGGAGCAAACAGG
rnacentral:rRNA from 1 species